rnacentral:rRNA from 1 species
UGGCUCAGGACGACGCUGGCGGCGUGCCUAACACAUGCAAGUCGAACGGAGUUGAGGAGCUUGCUCCUUAACUUAGUGGCGGACGGGUGAGUAACGCGUGAGUAACCUGCCUCUGAGAGGGGAAUAACGUUCUGAAAAGAACGCUAAUACCGCAUGACACAUAUUUGCCGCAUGACAGAUAUGUCAAAGAUUUUAUCGCUCAGAGAUGGACUCGCGUCCGAUUAGUUAGUUGGUGAGGUAACGGCUCACCAAGACCGCGAUCGGUAGCCGGACUGAGAGGUUGAACGGCCACAUUGGGACUGAGACACGGCCCAGACUCCUACGGGAGGCAGCAGUGGGGGAUAUUGCGCAAUGGGGGGCCAACCCUGACGCAGCAACGCCGCGUGAAGGAUGAAGGUUUUCGGGUUGUAAACUUCUUUUCUCAGGGACGAAAUUUGACGGUACCUGAGGAAUAAGCUCCGGCUAACUACGUGCCAGCAGCCGC